rnacentral:rRNA from 1 species
UAGGGAAUCUUCCGCAAUGGGCGAAAGCCUGACGGAGCAACGCCGCGUGAGUGAUGAAGGUCUUCGGAUCGUAAAACUCUGUUAUUAGGGAAGAACAUAUGCGUAAGUAACUGUGCACAUCUUGACGGUACCUAAUCAGAAAGCCACGGCUAACUACGUGCCAGCAGCCGCGGUAAUACGUAGGUGGCAAGCGUUAUCCGGAAUUAUUGGGCGUAAAGCGCGCGUAGGCGGUUUUUUAAGUCUGAUGUGAAAGCCCACGGCUCAACCGUGGAGGGUCAUUGGAAACUGGAAAACUUGAGUGCAGAAGAGGAAAGUGGAAUUCCAUGUGUAGCGGUGAAAUGCGCAGAGAUAUGGAGGAACACCAGCGGCGAAGGCGACUUUCUGGUCUGUAACUGACGCUGAUGUGCGAAAGCGUGGGGAUCAAACAGGAUUAGAUACCCUGGUAGUCCACGCCGUAAACGAUGAGUGCUAAGUGUUAGGGGGUUUCCGCCCCUUAGUGCUGCAGCUAACGCAUUAAGCACUCCGCCUGGGGAGUACGACCGCAAGGUUG